GACGACGCUGGGCGGCGUGCCUAACACAUGCAAGUCGAGCGGGUUGAGGCGAGAGGUAACUCGAACUUCUACCUAGCGGCGGACGGGUGAGUAACGCGUGGGCAACCUGCCUCAAGGUUUGGGAUAACAGCCCGAAAGGGCUGCUAAUACCGGAUAUGCCUAUGGCCUCGCAUGGGGCUAUGAGCAAAGGGGAAACCCGCCUUGAGAUGGGCCCGCGUCCCAUCAGCUAGUUGGUGAGGUAACAGCUCACCAAGGCGACGACGGGUAGCCGGCCUGAGAGGGUGACCGGCCACACUGGGACUGAGACACGGCCCAGACUCCUACGGGGGGCAGCAGUGGGGGAUCUUGCACAAUGGGCGAAAGCCUGAUGCAGCGACGCCGCGUGAGCGAAGAAGGCCUUCGGGUUGUAAAGCUCUGUCUGGAGGGACGAACAAAAUGACGGUACCUCCGGAGGAAGCCACGGCUAACUACGUG
rnacentral:rRNA from 1 species